rnacentral:rRNA from 1 species
UACGAGAGGUGCAAGCGUUAUUCGGAAUUAUUGGGCGUAAAGGGUGCGUAGGUGGCACGUUAAGUCAACUGUAAAAUUCCUCAGCCUAACUGAGGGCUCGCAGUAGAAACUGGCAUGCUAGAGGGUGGAAGAGAGAAGUGGAAUUCUCGGAGUAGCGGUAAAAUGCGUAGAUCUCGAGAGGAACACCGAUGGCGAAGGCAGCUUCUUGGUCCAUACCUGACACUAAGGCACGAAAGCGUGGGGAGCAAACAGG